GUCGUAACAAGGCCUCCGUAGGUGAACCUGCGGAGGGAUCAUUACACAAAUAUGAAGGCGGGCUGGAACCUCUCGGGGUUACAGCCUUGCUGAAUUAUUCACCCUUGUCUUUUGCGUACUUCUUGUUUCCUUGGUGGGUUCGCCCACCACUAGGACAAACAUAAACCUUUUGUAAUUGCAAUCAGCGUCAGUAACAAAUUAAUAAUUACAACUUUCAACAACGGAUCUCUUGGUUCUGGCAUCGAUGAAGAACGCAGCGAAAUGCGAUAAGUAGCGUGAAUUGCAGAAUUCAGUGAAUCAUCGAAUCUUUGAACGCACAUUGCGCCCUUUGGUAUUCCAAAGGGCAUGCCUGUUCGAGCGUCAUUUGUACCCUCAAGCUUUGCUUGGUGUUGGGCGUCUUGUCUCUAGCUUUGCUGGAGACUCGCCUUAAAGUAAUUGGCAGCCGGCCUACUGGUUUCGGAGCGCAGCACAAGUCGCACUCUCUAUCAGCAAAGGUCUAGCAUCCAUUAAGCCUUUUUUUCAACUUUUGACCUCGGAUCAGGUAGGGAUACCCGCUGAACUUAAGCAUAUCA
rnacentral:rRNA from 1 species